GAGCGAACAGGGAAAAGCCCAGCACUGAAUCCCGCGGCCGAUACCGGACGCCGGGAAAUGUAGUGUUAGGGAGGAUUCAUUUAUCACGCGAUUGUGUGUUGCGUCCAAGUCCUUCUUGAACGGGGCCACAGCCCAGAGAGGGUGCCAGGCCCGUAGCGACCGACACCAGUUGCGUGAGAAUCUCUCCUUAGAGUCGGGUUGCUUGAGAGUGCAGCCCUAAGUGGGUGGUAAACUCCAUCUAAGGCUAAAUAUGACCACGAGACCGAUAGCGAACAAGUACCGUGAGGGAAAGUUGAAAAGCACUUUGAAGAGAGAGUUCAAGAGUACGUGAAACCGUUCAGGGGUAAACCUGAGAAACCCGAAAGGUCGAACGGGGAAAUUCAUUCGUAUCUCGAGGCUGGCAUGGCGCGAUUCGGACGACAGUCACCGGCCACCGCUUCGCGGCGGUUGGUGCAGGUUGACUGCGUUGGUUGUGCGAUGGUCCGGCAGCGAAUGCGUGCACUUUUCCCCCAGUAGGACGCCGCGAUUCGUUGGGUGCCGGUCUAAGGCCCGUGGUGGAGCCCGCCGGGAUGGGUGGCAGUUCUCGGACUGUCAUCGUGCGCAUCCUGCGGACCCACGGUGUUUCCGGACCGGCUGGCUCGACGGUAUGCAGAUGGCGCAGAGCCGCGAAACUCUUUGUAGUUCGCGUUCGGCCCCCGGCAAGCACGCCUUGUAUUCACAGCGUUGGCGAUCGGACCUAGUGCCGUUCCCGACCCCUGGCGACUGUUGGCCGGCGGUGUUCUCGAACCGACUCUGUAACAUGAAACGCCGAUCUGCGGCGCUAUAGCUUUGGGUACUUUCAGGACCCGUCUUGAAACACGGACCAAGGAGUCUAGCAUGUGCGCAAGUCAUUGGGAUACAAUGAAACCUAAAGGCACAAUGAAAGUGAAGGUUUGUCUUGUACAAACUGAGGGAGGAUGGGUGGUUAGCCCCUGAAUAAGUGGUGGCCACUCCGCACUCCCGGGGCGUCUCGUUCUUAUUGCAAGAAGAGGCGCACCAUGAGCGUACACGCUGGGACCCGAAAGAUGGUGAACUAUGCCUGGUCAGGACGAAGUCAGGGGAAACCCUGAUGGAGGUCCGUAGCGAUUCUGACGUGCAAAUCGAUCGUCGGAACUGGGUAUAGGGGCGAAAGACUAAUCGAACCAUCUAGUAGCUGGUUCCCUCCGAAGUUUCCCUCAGGAUAGCUGGCGCUCAUUGCGCACGAGUCUCAUCCGGUAAAGCGAAUGAUUAGAGGCAUUGGGGUCGAAACGACGUCAACCUAUUCUCAAACUUUAAAUGGGUGAGAUCUCCGGCUUGCUUAAACAGUGAAGCUGCGAGAUUUCGGAUCAGAGUGCCAAGUGGGCCAUUUUUGGUAAGCAGAACUGGCGCUGUGGGAUGAACCAAACGCCGAGUUAAAGCGCCUAAAUCGACGCUUAUGGGAUACCAUGAAAGGCGUUGGUAACUUAAGACAGCAGGACGGUGGCCAUGGAAGUCGGAAUCCGCCAAGGAGUGUGUAACAACUCACCUGCCGAAGUUACUAGCCCUGAAAAUGGAUGGCGCUGAAGCGUCGUGCUUAUACUCGGCCGUCAGCGGCAUGUGCGGUCCGUGCUUGCGCGGGCCAUGAAGCUCUGACGAGUAGGAGGGUCGCGGCGGUGAGCGCUGAAGGGCUGGCCGUGAGGCCGUCUGGAGCCGCCGUCGGUGCAGAUCUUGGUGGUAGUAGCAAAUACUCCAGCGAGGCCCUGGAGGACUGACGUGGAGAAGGGUUUCGUGUGAACAGCCGUUGCACACGAGUCAGUCGAUCCUAAGCCCUAGGCGAAAGCCGAUGUUAAUGUGGUGUACGUUUAUAAUUUAUUAUUAUGAUGAAUGAUGGUGAUAGAGUGCGCUGGUGGUUGGCGUUGGUAGUAGAAGCAGUGGUGGCGGGCACAACGACACACGCCGUGUGAACAACACACGAGUUAGUAAGAGUUGUUGGUCACCCUACUCACACCACACACACACUGCCCCGCGCGCAUCACACAUUAAACACACUCGUAAAGAAAAUAAUGAGAACACACCCGUUGGGCGAAAGGGAAUCCGGUUCCUAUUCCGGAACCCGGUAGCGGAACCGUUUAAAAGUCGGGCCCUCGCAAGAGAGUUCGUCGGGGUAACCCAAAAGGACCCGGAGACGCCGUCGGGAGAUCCGGAAAGAGUUUUCUUUUCUGUAUGAGCGUUCGAGUUCCAUGGAAUCCUCUAGCAGGGAGAUAUGGUUUGGAACGCGAAGAGCACCGCAGUUGCAGCGGUGUCCGGAUCUUCCCCUCGGACCUUGAAAAUCCGGGAGAGGGCCACGUGGAGGUGUCGCACCGGUUCGUACCCAUAUCCGCAGCAGGUCUC
rnacentral:rRNA from 1 species